rnacentral:rRNA from 1 species
GGGGGGUGCUAUACAUGCAAGUCGAGCGAAUGGAUUAAGAGCUUGCUCUUAUGAAGUUAGCGGCGGACGGGUGAGUAACACGUGGGUAACCUGCCCAUAAGACUGGGAUAACUCCGGGAAACCGGGGCUAAUACCGGAUAACAUUUUGAACCGCAUGGUUCGAAAUUGAAAGGCGGCUUCGGCUGUCACUUAUGGAUGGACCCGCGUCGCAUUAGCUAGUUGGUGAGGUAACGGCUCACCAAGGCAACGAUGCGUAGCCGACCUGAGAGGGUGAUCGGCCACACUGGGACUGAGACACGGCCCAGACUCCUACGGGAGGCAGCAGUAGGGAAUCUUCCGCAAUGGACGAAAGUCUGACGGAGCAACGCCGCGUGAGUGAUGAAGGCUUUCGGGUCGUAAAACUCUGUUGUUAGGGAAGAACAAGUGCUAGUUGAAUAAGCUGGCACCUUGACGGUACCUAACCAGAAAGCCACGGCUAACUACGUGCCAGCAGCCGCGGUAAUACGUAGGUGGCAAGCGUUAUCCGGAAUUAUUGGGCGUAAAGCGCGCGCAGGUGGUUUCUUAAGUCUGAUGUGAAAGCCCACGGCUCAACCGUGGAGGGUCAUUGGAAACUGGGAGACUUGAGUGCAGAAGAGGAAAGUGGAAUUCCAUGUGUAGCGGUGAAAUGCGUAGAGAUAUGGAGGAACACCAGUGGCGAAGGCGACUUUCUGGUCUGUAACUGACACUGAGGCGCG